AACGGAAUUCAGGAGAGGAUGGGUUUGGACCACUUGUAGGAAUGCAACAAUGCAAAGCUGAUGACACCUCAGAAUCUUUGAGAAGUGUGGAGUUAAGUUCCCAGAAUUCCUUAACCAGCAUUCUGGGUCUACCCAUCUUAAAGAAGUUCCUUCUCGCUCUGAGGAUCUAAGGCAUCGGAAAAGUGGAAUCUCACUUGAUAUGUAGCUACGCAAGAUCACCAUCCUUACAAUAUAAUCCUUGCUUGGCUUAAAGAGAGGGGGAAAAAGAUACAUGUUGGCACAGCAACCACUAACUAAGCUCUUAAAACUGGAAACACAAAGAAAAUAGGAGUCAUGGAAACAUUUCAGUUUUCCUAAAAAUAAAUAUAUUUUGUUUUUUCUUUG